ensembl:lncRNA
AUGGCCCGGAUAAGAUGGGGCCUCUUAUUUUCGAUCGGCUUCUUUCUCUCUCCGCUGCGCGUGUCCCCGGAGCCGCAGCGGAGGCAGGCCGGCUUCAGGAGGCUGUACGCGCCGCAGCCCGGCCCGGCGGCGGCGGCCGCAGCGGGCGGCGGCGCGCGGCUCAGCUCCAUCUCCACGGGGCGGCCGCACGCGCGCAACGUGGAGCUCACCGCUAACUACGGCGGCCAGGUCCGCACCCGCAGGAUGGGGAACCAGGCGGCCGCAGCCCCGCAGCUCAGGCAGCAGCAGCAGCAGCAGCUCGUCACGCUGUCGGGGGUGAAUGUCUGUGGAGGGCAGUGCUGUCAUGGAUGGAGUGCUGCUCAGGGGUCGCAGCGAUGCACAAAACGUAAGUGUACACUCGAUUUUUUGUAUCAGUCUUUACUUGACUUUUAAAACAUACUUGCUGUUGCUAAAGGUACUAAAUGUAACCGUGGCUCUAUUCAACAAAAUACAAAAUGAGAGCUGGCAAAUGCAUCAUUGUUAAGUCUUCUUCAUUCAAUACCCGUUCCAGCUUUCUGGGUUUAUAUCGUUGUCUCACGUCGUUUCUCAGAGAAUUGUACAUGUCAGUUUCAAAGCUUCUAACUAAUCAGACAAUUUGUUCUCACGUACAAAUGUGUUAUAAUUAGGAAAACAUUCAUUUCAUAGGUGAGGUCCAGUGUCUGGACAGUUUUUAAUACCAUCGGACUGCAAAGACCAUGUGUCUCAGAGUGAAAGAGAAUCCGGUCUGAGAUGGACUGUCUGUCUUGGCCCAUUAGUCAGAUCACUUUCUGGUUUACAAGAUCCUGCCAGUUUGUGAUUUAAGAAGUAAACACCUCUUCCCAAGUGCGGUGCUCUGCUGGGGUGUUGAGACUGAAAGAGAGCCUAAGUUCUCUGGCGAGCACCAGGAUGUGAGAGAUCACACAAUCUGGCUCUGACACGGUUCUCACAGUCAUGACAUUUUUGUUUAAGGAUGCAAGGACAAUUUAUUCUAUGGUCAUUAUGGAACACAGGGAUGCGCUACAAAUGCAGGAGCCCAUUUUAAACACAAGAAAGACUUGACUUACAAAACCAAAACAGUAGAACAUUCCUGUAGUGACAGAUUUACGUCCUCUGCAACCACGUAGACCAAACUAAUACAGAGCAGACCGUUCUGUUGUCAGGAGGACAGUUCAUUUAUUUUCAAAAGGUAAUUUCCAACUGGGAAACACAGAGCAAUGUUUCCACACAAGCUUUUUUAGAGUGGUCCAACUGGAAAAGCUGGAUGGAAGCGAGAAUAUUCGAUAAUUUCUGCUUAAAAGUUUGCUUUAGUGGCUUUUUCUUUAUUUUUGAACACAUACAAUGUCCCGUCAGUUAACACGCAUGCGUAGGACUCAAUAUCAACAUGAGAGUCUGAUUAGGUUAGUUUAUCCAAACGUCUGUGAGGUUGUAACCUUAUUCGGGACUUCACAGUUUUGACAUAUUUGUGAGUUUUGUUUUUUUCUUCACUCACUGAGCGCACAUGUGAGUAAAUGUGACGGAGCGGCCGGUCAUGUUGAGGUCAGCUGACAGACAUCCGUUUUUGGCACAUCUCUACGUUGAAAAGAUGUAUGUGUCUGCAAACCAUGCUCCUUUGGGCCGGUUGAAUCUCCAGCAGAGCAUAACAUGGUGCAUUGUGAAUCGCAGUGAGGGUUUUCAAAUAUAUUUUUCCCCUGCAUGUGGGCUUAUGUGGCCAAUGAGUCGUGCUGAGUCACAGGGGCUAGAUGACGAGGUGGAGGAGAAUUUGCCUUGUUUUUGCAAUCUUUGACUUAUUUCCAGGGUGAGCGAAAAGCUGAUCCGGACUUGUUUGAGCAUUUGGGCGUACGGAAAACCUACGACCGGAUUUUACACCGUUUAUUUUGGCCACGAAUGAAAAAGGACGUUUCUACGCCCAUCAAAACCUGUAGCACGUCCCGGCUGACCUAGUAAACCCAAUCGGGUCAUUAAACAGCGCCUCUGGAGCCGUUUGAGUACCUUAUCCUUAGUAUUUGUUAUGUGCGAUGUGACAAAGCACCAGGCACCGAGCAUUGUACCUUCAGUCUGCUGCACAGAGCUAGAAUGAGACUGGCAAGAGGGGCUACGUUAGCAUCAGGUAGUCAGGUAGUACAGGAAAGUACGGGGUUUAUCCCAAAUGAUCUAGUAUUUGGCCACACUGUCCGGCGUCCGCUGUCUGUAUUUAAGUUAAGGAUGAGUUGGAUCCGUGACAACAUCAAACGCUAAUCUCCUGUAGACUGUAGCAGCCGUGUCCUCCAUCACUUCACCAGACAUGACAGUGAAAAUGUCAAAUGGGAGUAACUCUAAAUCCAGCUGGGCAAAAUACACAGACCGCAUUGCAGCUGGUCUGGUCCGAUAGUGCUGGAGAUCGGUGCUCCGCUCCUCGAGUCAGGUUCUCACUUUUGUCUUGCAACGUUCACUAUGCAGUUCUUAAAUCUAGGAUGUGUGUUCUUAAAAAGGAUCAGGUUAUUAAAAACAGUGCAAUAGUAAUAAGAGAUAGUAGCAUCAGCAGCAUGUAUUGAAUUUGGCUCUUGUUUUACUAAUCAUUAGUGACUGACGUGUCAACUUCAUCUCUUGGAAACACAACUUUGCUGCAAGGGACAGUUCAUGCUGAUUAAAGAUGUGCUAUUUGUGGAUGUUGACAACAUCAUCCCUUCUGUGUUUUUCAUUCAGAAAUCUGGCAAGAAAGAUAUUAUCAUAUCUGAUAGAACUGAUCAGAACAUUGUAACAGACCGUAGUUGAGGGUGACUGGGUUCAUACACGUCACACUGAAGGCAGUAGGUGUGAUUUGGGUCGGGGGGGCUCAGCAAAGGUGCAAAAGCAAACCUAAACCUCUAGGGAGGUUUUAAAAAGAUAAACCGGCCAUGUACGGGAGCAAACAACAUUUACAAAACUACAUUUUCAGGUUUGAAAUAGCUUUUAUGUCUUCAAGUGGUUGUCAGAGUCAAAUGGGAUCCAAUGAAUAGCCAGCCUGCUGAAUAACUUCGGGGCUCCAUAGUUUCCUUGCUGGCUGGUGGAACAUGAGUGUCUCUCGCCCAGAGCAUUAGCGAGGCCUAUAGAUUCUCAACAAACUGUCUUAUCACAGCUAAUCUGGACUCCGAGGGAGAGCAGUGACUCUGAUAAUGAGGAAUUCAGUACCUCAUAUAUUUAUGUCAUAUCUUUCCACUGCUACGUACUUCGGAAUUCAGGCAACAUCUGUCCCAGCCACAUCCAACGUUAAACAGGCUUGCAGUUCACAAAGUCUCAGCAAUUUUCUCUCCUCCUCUUUGGAAUUUUCUGGUCUUGCAUCAAGGAAAAUCAUUAUGCCUCCCGGUUUCUGCUCCUCACCUUGGAACCCGACCACAUAAACACAGCCACGCAGUCACUCACACACACAGAGACACACACACCUUAAGUAUGUUUAACUCUUGCAGACCUCAAUUUGAGUCUGGACUGGCACCCCAGGCACCUGGACCCGGCACCAUUACAUCACAAGGGCAAGGACAGCAUUCUCUAUUUUUUGUUUCCAGCUAACAAGCUAUCGUCACUUAGUUCAUCUCACAUGUAACAGAAGGAAGCUUUUAUGUAGCCGACCCCAGUCAGAAGAAUGAAAUCUAUUCACAUACAGACGGCAGCCGCAGCUCCAGGCCAAAGAAGGGCGGGGAAGAGACUGUCCACAUCUGUGGGGGCAGCGAUGACGUCAUCUUUGAGGAUGAUUCACUCAAUGGAAUAGAGUCAUAGAACUUAUAGCUCUUGUAAGAUCUUGAAAGAUGGGGCACAUAUUUUUGGUUGAUGUAAACUUGACAUACUGUCACCUCUCGUGACAACUACUUUUACUUUUUCAAAACUUAACUUAAACUGGCAAAACUAUGGAUCAUUCAGUAAAGAAGUUAAAACACUUAAAGAAAAGAACUGGCUAUAGUUACUGAACAAAAUAUCAAGGCAUCCAAUUGAAAACAAAAUGAAAUUAAUUAAUCAAAAUAAAACAUUAUGAUACUUUAUUCUGUUUAAGUGCAACAUGAAUUAUGUUGACUUAAUACCCUCUUCUUUACUCAAUACCGAAUAUAUGUAUGUAUAUAUAUUCAAACCCCAUUCGAUAUUGAUACAUAUAUAUCAGGGAUGUGUGGGGAGGCAGGACUCAAACGCAGAGUUUAAACAAAAGACAACAAAACAGAAGGCCGACAUAAAUAUAGAGAGAUAAAGGGGUAAAACCCAUUCUAGAAUUAAUCUACAAAAGUAAUAUAAGAGGUACAUUCAAUAUGUCUGGUUGAAUAGAGACACUCACCUCACCUCUUUCCCCAUCGGAUCUCUGUUGGUCUGAUUAUAAACCUCCCUAUACUGAUAUAUUCCAAUUAUAUUAUAACAUUUGAUACCAUAUAUUUGAUAUUCUAUUUAAUUUAUCAGUGGUCUAGUAUGUUGUAACAUAAACUCUUAUACUGUAUCUCUAUCUCUAUACUUGAUAGUAUCCAACUACUACUACUACUAUAUUACUAUUCUAUGACAACUUAUCUGUUCCAUACUAUAUCUUAAUGCAACAUUGUAUAAUGUUUAUGUUUUAAACUUGAACUGUAUUCUGUUAUGCUUCUAAAUAUCUGACAAACACUUACAUUAUCAAAGCAUAAAGCUCCCCCGCUAAAAUAGUUCAAGGGAGGCAACCACCAAAUAAUUAGUGGUUGUUGCAACAUUAUACAAAUAUAUCGACGCCUUUGCUCUGUCAUCCCUAAAGCAUCACACAAUGGAGGAGGUAAUGGUGGCACGCUCCCAGUUCGCAAUGGAAGAGGGCUGUACUGUGAGGAGGAUUUG